rnacentral:rRNA from 1 species
UACGUAGGGAGCAAGCGUUAUCCGGAUUUACUGGGUGUAAAGGGCGCGUAGGCAGGAGUGCAAGUCAGAUGUGAAAUCUGGGGGCUCAACCCCCAAACUGCAUUUGAAACUGUAUUUCUUGAGUGAUGGAGAGGCAAGUGGAAUUCCUAGUGUAGCGGUGAAAUGCGUAGAUAUUAGGAGGAACACCAGUGGCGAAGGCGACUUGCUGGACAUUAACUGACGCUGAGGCGCGAAAGCGUGGGGAGCAAACAGG